rnacentral:lncRNA from 1 species
UAUGUUCCUGAUGUCUAUCUAGAAGGGCUUCUGCUCCAGCCACAUCAUUGGCAAGCUCAUCAGCAUUUAUCAGAGCCUUCAUCUCAGUUACCCAGCUAGUGAGGUCCCGGAAAUCUGCAAGAAAGCGCUGCAACCUGUAGGAGUCAUUAAGGCGAGCAUGCCUCUCUGCUGCCAGAGUUCGGAUCUGCUCCCAGUUGGCAAUCAGUUCCUCCCGUUUCACUUGAAUUUGAGAAGCAUUUAUAGGGUGAGACUGCUGCAAACGGUCAGCUUCUGCACAGAGGGCCUUAACCUUAUCCUCCAAAGCUGCAAGAUCUCUUUCCAGGCCUUCAUGCUUACGUAGUAAAGCUUGCACGCUGGCCAAGUCUCUGCCAAAGUCAUCUGAGGCCAUCAACUGCCCUUUCUCCUUAAUCCAGCUGAUAGUUUCAUCCACAUCCCUGUUGAAGCGCUGAACUUCAGCUGCCCCAAAGAGUUUUCCUUGCCUCUGUUGGGCAAGCCCCUUAAGACGCUGCCAGCUUGCAUUUACUUCAUCCUGUUUGGACUUUAUAAGUUCCUCCUCAGGGUGCUGUUCCUGGAUAAGUUUGCCAGCGAACUGGUUCACUUCAUUCACUCUCUCCUCAUGAGCUGCCAGAUCUGUUUGGAACUCUUCAAAUUUCUUCUGCAAAACCUCAACAUGCUCUAAGUCCUGUCCAAGCUCUUCUGAGGUCACUAUUGCUUCCUUGUCAUUGAUCCAGUCCAUGACAUCUUCACAUUCCCGUAAGAAUUGCACCAGCUUCUGUGCUUGCAACAGCUUCACUCCCUUCUCUCUCAUUUUUUCCAGCAGUAACUCCCAUAGUCGGUGCAGCUCCUGUAGACGAGUUCUUAUGGUUUCAGAUGCAAAAUGGCCUUCAUUGAUCAUCUGAUUUCCAGUCUCAUCCAGCUUAACGAUAGCCCCUGAAUUGGCCUGCACCUCAGCUUCAAAGGCCUGGUGCUUCUGCAGCUUCCCCUGUAAAUUGCUUGGGUCUUUGUAAUUUUCAUCAGAUGCUAUCUGGAGUUUCUCUUGGAUCCAUUUUUCCAGCUCAUCUGCAUCGCGCUGGAAGAACUGGAACCGAUAGGAAUCUUCGAGUUUUUGGCGCCUCAGAGAAGACAGCUCCUUGAACCUGUGGUAACGGUCCAAAACCUGCUGACGCCGUUCUUGGAUAUCUUCUGCUGUUUCCAACACUUUUACCCCACUUGGAUCCAUUUUCGGCUCCGCGCGCAGUCCUCCGCCUCCGCGCCCGCCGCCCCUCCGCUACGGACACGGCGCGCCGCCGGCGCUGCCUUUUAUACAAGCGGCAGGAGAUGACGUCAGCGCCGCAGAACGGACUCCCGACUGGCGGAAAGUGCCGAAGUGGUUCGGAAAAAAUCGUCGGGGGAAGGGAGAGCCCCACCCAUCCGAGCGCAGCAGAGCGGAGAGAGAGCGCAUGCGGAGAGAGCCGAAGUGUUCCGGAAAGUGCCGAAUGGCUCCGGAAAGAGCCGAGGGGCGUGGCGGGAUGCCUGAGUGAAAAGGCGGGGUGGGGGCGGGAAGCGGUGGUUCGUUCUCUGGCCCUUCAGUGAGCCUUAAAAUAAUAUUAAUUAAAAACAAACAAACAAACAAACACAAAAAAAACCACAAAAAACGGGCUAGCAUAGAAAAUUAUUUAAAAUACCAACGCAGCACGGCGGCGGUGGGGGUCUCUGCCGCCUCCUCAGUCCCCGCCGGGGCCAUCUUCUGCUCCUGAGGCACAGCAGCGCUGCUGCAGAGGCAGAAGAUCCGUUACAGAUUUCACAGUUAAAAUCAAUAAAGUCAAAGCAGCCCCAGCAGUUCUGUGUUAUUAAAGACGUGAACGAUGGAGGUGGCGGAGGCUGGCGUUCUGAUGUCAAAAGGGCAGCACAGCUCAGGCUCCCUGCCUGGCAUAAGCCAUCUAUUUUUAAAAGCAUAAAUCCAAAGGAAAAUGAGCCCUUAGUAUGAGUAAGAUGUUUGAAAUUGACAUGUGAGAAACGUUUAGCUGAAUCUCUCAGGUUUUCACAGGCAGAAUGCCAUCAGAUCAAAGUACUGAGGGGGUCUCGGUGAUGCUUGAGUUAAUAACACUUCUAUUUAAGUGUUUAAAUGGGAAAAAACACACUGGCACUGACGUUGCCUCAGCAGCCGUAGGACUGCAUGGAACCAUUGUCUGUAAGGAAGAGUGACUCACAGCUAUCUUAGUGCAUCUGGUCCCGAACGCACAGCGCCUGCACACGGGAGAUGCUGGCAUUUGGGACACCAAUGUGCGUAUGAAAAUAGCAUUUUGGUGUGAGCACAAGACCUCAUCUGCACUGAGACUUCAUAACACCAAAUGGGCCACAUUGAAAGCUGCUAAAAUAAGCAGAACGGCGUCACACGCGUCAGCCAUCAGCUCAAGCAGUAGACGCAACCUUAAGAUACAUCUAAAAAUAAAUACUGGCUUAU